rnacentral:rRNA from 1 species
UGAGAUGUUGGGUUAAGUCCCGCAACGAGCGCAACCCUUGAUUCUAGUUGCCAGCAUUAAGUUGGGCACUCUAGAGUGACUGCCGGUGACAAACCGGAGGAAGGUGGGGAUGACGUCAAAUCAUCAUGCCCCUUAUGACCUGGGCUACACACGUGCUACAAUGGAUGGUACAAAGGGCAGCAAAGUCGCGAGGCUAAGCAAAUCCCAUAAAACCAUUCUCAGUUCGGAUUGCAGGCUGCAACUCGCCUGCAUG